rnacentral:rRNA from 1 species
CCCCACUAUGCCCAGCCGUAAACUUUUAUUUACACCUAAAUCGCCCGGGAACUACGAGCAAAGCUUAAAACCCAAAGGACUUGACGGUACCCCACAUCCACCUAGAGGAGCCUGUCCUAUAAUCGAUAAUCCACGUUUAACCUCACCACUUUUAGCCUAUCAGCCUGUAUACCUCCGUCCUCAGCUUACCCCGUGAGUGGAAUCUAGUAAGCUUAAUGCCCCUGCGCCAACACGUCAGGUCAAGGUGCAGCAAAUAAAGUGGGAAGAGAUGGGCUACACUCUCUAACAUAGAGAAUACGAAAGACUACUUAUGAAAUCUAGUCAGAAGGCGGAUUUAGAAGUAAAAAGAAAAUAGAAUGUUCUUUUUAACCAGGCACUGGGGUGUGUACACACCGCCCG